GAUGAACGCUAGCGGCAGGCUUAACACAUGCAAGUCGAGCGGGGUUUUCGGACCUAGCGGCGGACGGGUGAGUAAUGCGUAGGAAGCUGCCCGAUAGAGGGGGAUACCAGUUGGAAACGACUGUUAAUACCGCAUAAUGUCUACGGACCAAAGUGUGGGACCUUCGGGCCACAUGCUAUCGGAUGCGCCUACGUGGGAUU
rnacentral:rRNA from 1 species